UAUGUAGAUAAUGGUUCGGAUAUUUCUCAGCAUUAUCGGAAACAUUUAACAUUAUUUUCCAGUAACUGAAUUCAAAUCCGACACAUACAUAUGAACUCACUAAAUGAAUUCACAAUAAAACAUGAUUAAACCAGUAAAUUAUUGAACACGAUUUGCUUGUUUUGCUGAAGCACCAGCUUAAAUAUCCUCCGGAAAAACAAAUUUUGGCAUCUGAAAAUCAGGUCAUGUCCUUCGAACACCUCGACGACAACAACAAAAUCAUAGGUAGGUAUUCUCAAACAGUACGCCUAGCGGGGGGGAUUUCUUCAGACAUAG
rnacentral:misc_RNA from 1 species